rnacentral:lncRNA from 1 species
CACCUGCUGUUGCAUUUGUUGUUGCAUUAGUUGUUGCAUUUGUUGUUGCUGCUGAAGGAGUUGAGCCAUCACCUGACAUAUUCCAGCAAAAUCUGUCUGGGUGGUGGUCACGGUAGGAGCUAGUUCAAUCGGUUGGCUGGUAGCCCCUUGAGAUGAUGUUCUUACUCCUUUUCUUUUAUAAUUUGCUAGUACUUCAUUCUCAUCGUCGCUCAUUGUCACCUAAGAUAAUACAAACCAAAAUUAUUAUUUUAUUAUUAUUAUUAUUAAUUAACUUAUUAAAUUAUUCAUUUAUAUUCUCAAUAAAUGACUAGUUAAACUAAAUCUAACUACCCCUCUUAUUAACCCC